AUUGAACGCUGGCGGCAGGCCUAACACAUGCAAGUCGAGCGAGCGGCGGACGGGUGAGUAAUGCCUGGGAAUUGCCCAGUCGAGGGGUAUAACAGUUGGACACGACUGCUAAUACCGCAUACUAUUGGAUUGCCCAGGUGGGAUUAGCUAGUGGGUGGGGUAAUGGCACACCAAGGCGAAGAUCCCUAGCUGGUCUGAGAGGAUGAUCAGCAACACUGGAACUGAGAAACGGUCCAGACUCCUCCGGGCGGCAGCAGUGGGGAAUAUUGCACAAUGGGGGAAACCCUGAUGCAGCCAUGCCGCGUGUGUGAAGAAGGCCUUCGGGUUGUAAAGCACUUUCAGCGAGGAGGCGUUACUCGCAGAAGAAGCACCGGCUAACUCCGUGCCAGCCGCCGCGGUAAUUC
rnacentral:rRNA from 1 species